AUUUUUAUCCCCUGCAAUCUAUUCAUACCUAAUUUCAGGCUUAAGUCAGGAUAUUGACAUUGUGAAGGAGGAUAUAGCAGACAUAGAUAUUAGAGAUAUUGUAACACAGAUUGAUUCCUUAGAUAACUUUGAAAAUAUUCCUGAUCAAAUCCUUGAUGCACUUGUGGAAACUGGUUUUACUAAAAAAAUCACCAAAGAGAAUAAACUUGAAGCUAUCACAAGCAUAAUGCUGAACACAGUGAUCUUAAUGCGUAAAGCUGAGCUUGAUCAAUUUGGUCAAGGUCUUGGCCCAAUACUAAAUGAAGCACAGAAGCAUCCUGAUGUUUUCAAGCCCUUGUUUGUUCAUGUUGGUGAUGUGGAUCUUACCCCAGAAAUGUUUAAAAGUCUAUUGAUGCAUACACACUUAGAUGACCCAAUCAAAGGCUAUUUUUACAAGUAUAUUGAUAAUUUGGAUGCAAAGGGUUUGCAAAAGUUGUUGGCAUUUUCUACUGGUGCAAGUAGUAUACCA